UUUUCGGAAGUAGGGGCGGUGUGAAGCUCGUUUCUCACUACUUGAUCCGUGCCCGUAAAACCUGAUUCUCGCCCGCUACUGAUCCCAGCCUAAAUCGGCUCUUUUUCUCCGACCGGGUCUCCAGAAAAAGCGAUCUUUGACGCAAGAGUUGGAGCGCAGGAAAGAAAGAGAAACGCACAAGGAGGAAAUUAAGAGAGUGAAAUCGGAGAGGAACAAGAUGAGAUGCUGGGUUUGCUGCUCUGCAGACCGGAUCUCCCUUCCAAAGGCCUUCAAAGAGCAAGUGAAAAACUCUGGCCCAUGUAAGAUCAUGGAUACUUUUCAGAAGGAAGAUGGCUUCAUUGCUUUGAGUCUGUCAUGGAUUCUGAUAAAAUCGGUAUAUAUAACAUCCUUGACCAUGCUGGACAAGAUUUAAAGAAGAGUUUGCUUUUUACUGGGUCACUCCCAUGAGCAUUUCCUUGUUGCUUCCCAAUAAAUAAAGCUGAGUUACUUCUGGAAAAUCUGCAUACAACUGAUUGACUGACACCUAAAAUGGAGCCCCACUCUUCACUGGAAUCAUCAGUUCCUGAGGAAACUUCAUGGCAUAUAAUAAAUCUGCUUUAUUUAUUUUGCCUUGUACAGUACAACUUUUUAAUGUAUGCAUAUAUAAUGUUUUAAAUAAUAUGCUAUUUUGCAUGGCUUGUCAGAAAAGCAUUGUAUACAGUAAGUGAAGUAAAUAAAUGCAGGAUUGUACUGCAGUAAAAUGCCAAGAAAAUCAGUAGUUAGACUCAUUAAAAUCCACUGCUUAGCUAAAUGGCCUUCAUUUGCUUUUUAAAAUGUUUUUGUUCCAGAAUACCACAUCUGGAACAAAAUAUACCACAUUUAAUCUAGCUCUGUGGGACAUAUUUUCUUCUCUGUUCAUUCUCCAGUUGCAUAUUUGCCAAUAAAUAAAUUCUUUUCCCCAAUUAAAAUUUCACCGAUUUCAUGGGAAAGAGAUUACAUGAAGUUAUAUACUAUAUGAUUCAUUAUAAAAUGCCUAUAUAUUAACAUUGAUUUGGACUUCAUGAAAUAGGAGUCUCUUAAAUGACACAAACCUCAUUUUGUGUCAUUUAAAAGACUCCUAUUUCAUGAAGACCAAAUCAAUGUUAAUAUAUAGGCAUAACUAAUAUAUAGUUAAUUUGAAUGACUGCCUGUCAAAGAGCUCAUGCAAGUUAAGUCCAAAAAUCCAUAUUAGGAUAAAUUGCACUGAAUCAUAAGGUAAUUUAUUUGGAAUUCUAUCAUGGUUGGUAAAUCAUAGCUUAUGGCUCAGUAUGAUGUGACCUCAACCAACCUUGAUUUAAUCAAUAAACCAUGGUUAAACAAACUAAGUUUUAGGGAAAUGUGCAAACCCUGACACUUACCUAAUUCACACAUUGUACUGAACCAUAGUUCAACAAACUAUUAUGCUUGGAGUUACACAAAAUGCUAAGACAUAGAGUACUAUAAAUCUGUGUUAUCCUUAGCAAUAUAUGCAGACAAUGUAUUAGGUAGAUUACUUAAAAGAAAAUCAUUAGAAGCUAUAUGGAAAACCAAUCAGAAGGACUUCUGCCUCAAAAAGGUAGCUUGCCCUCAGAUUUUAAUUUUUUUAUUUUUAACAGAUCUGCAAGCGUUGGCAAUUGGGUUAUGCUGGCUAGGAGUCCUAAGAGUUCUGCUCCUAACACAUCUGGAUCCCUCCAAAAUGAGGGAAGCUGUUAUAAGCAAUGUCUGUAGAACACAAGCAGAAAAGGCGCUCCCGCCCAGGCAACAGCAGGCAGAAUGCUAGAGACAGAUUAGGGAUUUGACUUUCUGGGAUUUUUAUUUGGGGAAAAAAUGUACAAGACCAGCCAACUGCCUGACAUUUUCUUCUUUUCAUUUCAAAUGUAAUCCUCCCACACCUACAAGAUCCAAAGUUAGGAUGGGACUGCUGAUCAAAAGCAGAGGAAAUUAUGACAGAAAACGAAGCCCCAGCAGGGCAGUGUGGUCCUGGAAAGGCCUCUGAGAAACAUCAUGUACCUUUCUCUUUCCAAAUCUUUAAUGGAAAAAAAUUGUGUCAUAAAGGUGCCAUCUUUAGAAAUUUCAUGGAAUGCACUGAAUGUUCUGAAUGCUUAUUGUUAAAGGGAAAAAAAAGCUUACCAAAUAAAAUAUUCU